rnacentral:rRNA from 1 species
AUUCCAGCUCCAAUAGCGUAUAUUUAAGUUGUUGCAGUUAAAAAGCUCGUAGUUGGAUCUUGGGUCGUAAGGGUCGGUCCGCCUACUCGGUGUGCACCUGCCCUUCCGUCCCUUUUGUCGGCGGCGUGCUCCUGGCCUUAAUUGGCUGGGUCGCAGUUCCGGCGCUGUUACUUUGAAAAAAUUAGAGUGCUCAAAGCAAGCUUAAGCUCUGAAUACAUUAGCAUGGAAUAACGUGAUAGGAGUCUGGUCCUAUUGUGUUGGCCUUCGGGACUGGAGUAAUGAUUAAUAGGGAUUGUCGGGGGCAUUCGUAUUUCAUUGUCAGAGGUGAAAUUCUUGGAUUUAUGAAAGACGGACCACUGCGAAAGCAUUUGCCAAGGGUGUUUUCAUCA